rnacentral:lncRNA from 1 species
CUCGAGCCAGCCUCUUCAGCAUGGAGAAGUCAGGCAGCUCAGGGGCGUCCGGCCGAUGGGGAAAAGCCAUGGCAGCGGUCACCUGCGCCGCGGGGUGGAAGGACGCCCUUCGUUCUGAGAAGGCCGGCCGCAGCCCAGGGAAGCGCAAGGGGGGCUAUCCUUCAGGCCUGGGCACCGACUUCCAGAGACCCCAGAUGGGCCCUCGCUCCUCAGCAGCACUCCAGGAAUGAAUGGCCACCUCCAGGCAAGAGAGCUACUACCUCGGAGCAGCCUUGUCUCAGACCUGCAGCCACCGUGUCUCGACCCUCCCUCCCUGAUCCACUCUGCCCGUCAGCAGGAUUCCGGUCUACACCCCGCAGAGACUCCGCAGCGUACGAGGAGAACCCCGCCUUCUACCAGAAAAAGAAGCGACUUCCUAGAUCUCCCGGAAGUCCCUUUCGCUCCCAGCGCUUCGCGUACCAGGAAGGGGACGGCGUCCUGAAAGGGACAUUUGAAAAACGGAGGCAACGCGUCUAUUAAUUAGGUGGCGGCGCCUGGGGUCGCAGCACUCCAGAGGCUGAGGUGGGAGAAUCGCUCGAGUCAGGGAGGCGGAGGUUGCAGUGAACUGCGAUCGCGCUACUGCACCCCAGCCUGGGCAACAAAGCUAGACCUUGCCUCAAAAAAAAAAAAAAAAAAAAAAAAAAAGACAUAAUGAAUGCAUCAGGCUAGCUAACAAUACCUCAACUCUGAUCAAUCAUACCAUCAUAUCAUUUCCUGGUGAGAUGCAUAGGAAAUACAGAGCAUCACCUAUUGCCAAAAAUUGAACCUAAUCAAGCCUCAAGAUCUAACUACCAGUUUAUAGGCUAUAUAGAGAUUAGCAGGAAUAUGUUAAGACACCAAAGGACAAGGAGACUGGCUUUCACAGAGGUUCGGGUUGGGUUCAGUUUUCUUCAGAAGAACUUCAGAAUGCACUACAACAGGAAAAUCAUAUUCUAGAUGGAGUCAAGUCAAUCUGUUUGUAUACCAGAUACAUCUAUGAUAUACAUGCAGCUACUAUCUGAUUAUGUAUCAAUUAAAUAGAUCAUAAAUGUGGAACGAUGGGGACUUUGAGAGAUUUGUAACUGAAGCUGCCUUCAUGCUUGUUAGAAUGCUGGGGUGGAAGAGUUCCCAGUUUUAAAGGAGAAGUACAAGAAGACCUGUAAUUGUUAGCAAGAUAUACAGAACACAGUGCACACAGCAGCGCACUUCUCAAGUCAGCUCCAGGUUCAAGCUCAAAGGCCUAAAGUUUUGCAAACAUCUGGUGAAGAGGAAGAUUUUUGAGACUCUCCCAGCCUAUUACAUAAAGGAAACAUAACCGAGAAUUUUGUCUAAAGGUUUUCAUUUGAAACAAAGCAAGAGCUUCUUUUCCCCACUCCGAAUUAAAACACAGCGCAACAGGGGCCACAUUUAUUUGGCAGGACAGUACCAAUAUGUGAACAUCCUCCUCCUCACUGCCGUUGGGGUGACUUGACUCAUAAGCAGCUGUUCUUACACAAAAUAUUAACCCGAACUGCUAGUGUCACACAGAAGGAAGUGGUCUUGAUUGUGUAUGUGGGCCAGCAUGUUCUACAAAUGCUGAAAGGUGGGAGAAGCACAAAUACAACCCACUCUUUAAAAAAACUAAAUAAUUCAAAGUAAAAUUUUCUAUCCCCGCCCCCUCCCCACCCUUGCCUUCUCCAAUAAUAAAAAGUAGAAUCCAG